rnacentral:rRNA from 1 species
CAGCCGCCGCGGUAAUACCGGCGGCCCGAGUGGCGGCCACUAUUAUUGGGCCUAAAGCGUCCGUAGCCGGGGUGGGAAGUCCCUCGGGAAAUCUGGCCGCUUAACGGUCAGAAUGGCGGAGGAUACUCCCAGCCUAGGGAGCGGGAGAGGCCGAGGGUAUUCCCGGAGUAGGGGUGAAAUCCUAUAAUCCCGGGAGGACCACCAGUGGCGAAGGCGCUCGGCUGGAACGCGUCCGACGGUGAGGGACGAAGGCCAGGGGAGCAAACCGGAUUAGAUACCCGGGUAGUCCUGGCUGUAAACGAUGCGGACUUGGUGUCGGACAAGCUAUGAGCUUGUCCGGUGCCGGAGGGAAACCGUUAAGUCCGCCGCCUGGGGAGUACGGCCGCAAGGCUGAAACUUAAAGGAAUUGGCGGG